CCUACGGGUGGCAGCAGUGGGGAAUUUUGGACAAUGGGCGCAAGCCUGAUCCAGCCAUGCCGCGUGUCUGAAGAAGGCCUUCGGGUUGUAAAGGACUUUUGUUAGGGUAGAAAAGGAUAGUUUUAAUACCAUUAUCUGCUGACGGUACCUAAAGAAUAAGCACCGGCUAACUACGUGCCAGCAGCCGAGGUAAUACGUAGGGUGCGAGCGUGAAUCGGAAUUACUGGGCGUAAAGCGAGCGCAGACUGUUUAUUAAGCAAGAUGUGAAAUCCCCGAGCUUAACUUGGGAACUGCGUUUUGACCUGGUAAGAUAGAGUAUGUCAGAGGGGGGUAGAAUUCCACGUGUAGCAGUGAAAUGCGUAGAGAUGUGGAGGAAUACCGAUGGCGAAGGCAGCCCCCUGGGAUAAUACUGACGUUCAUGCUCGAAAGCGUGGGUAGCAAACAGGAUUAGAUACCCGAGUAGUC
rnacentral:rRNA from 1 species